rnacentral:rRNA from 1 species
AGAGUUUGAUCCUGGCUCAGAUUGAACGCUGGCGGCAUGCCUUACACAUGCAAGUCGAACGGUAACGGGCCUUCGGGUGCCGACGAGUGGCGAACGGGUGAGUAAUGCAUCGGAACGUACCUUCAGUGGGGGAUAACGUAGCGAAAGUUACGCUAAUACCGCAUAUUCUGUGAGCAGGAAAGCAGGGGAUCGCAAGACCUUGCGCUGAUUGAGCGGCCGAUGUCGGAUUAGCUAGUUAGUGAGGUAAAGGCUCACCAAGGCGACGAUCUGUAGCGGGGUCUGAGAGGAUGAUCCGCCACACUGGAACUGAGACACGGUCCAGACUCCUACGGGAGGCAGCAGUGGGGAAUUUUGGACAAUGGGGGCAACCCUGAUCCAGCCAUGCCGCGUGAGUGAAGAAGGCCUUCGGGUUGUAAAGCUCUUUCGGCCGGGAAGAAAUCGCAUGGGUUAAUACCCUGUGCGGAUGACGGUACCGGCAUAAGAAGCACCGGCUAACUACGUG